UAGAAGAGAUUAUGCUAAAAUUAGUAAUAAGAGAGUAACAGACUUUCUCCUGGCAUAAGUGUACAUCAGACCGGACACCCCACUGAUAAUUAACGAACCCAAAAAAGAGGGAAGUACAAUAAAACUAAACAAACAAGAAAAACUUGCAGAAACCCAAUCGUUAAUCCGACACAGGAAUGCCAUAAAGGAAAGACUAAAAGGAGAAGAAGGAACUCGGCAAACACAAACCCCGCCUGUUUACCAAAAACAUCGCCUCUUGCUAACAAAAUGUAUUAGAGGUCCCGCCUGCCCUGUGACCAUAAAGUUUAACGGCCGCGGUAUCCUGACCGUGCGAAGGUAGCGUAAUCACUUGUCUUUUAAAUGAAGACCUGUAUGAAUGGCAUAACGAGGGUUUAACUGUCUCCUUCCCCCAGUCAAUGAAAUUGAUCUGCCCGUGCAGAAGCGGACAUAUAAACAUAAGACGAGAAGACCCUAUGGAGCUUUAGGCUAAGAGUCAAACAUGUUAAAAGACUAAAAAAUCAAAAAGAACCAACAAAUAGUCACCAAAACUAAAUGUAAAAUGACCCAACAUGCCUUCGGUUGGGGCGACCACGGGGAAAAAAGAAACCCCCAAAUGGAAUGGGAACACCCCCUCAAACUAAGAAAAACACCUCUAAGUAACAGAACAUCUGACCAAAAAUGACCCAGAACAAUUCUGAUCAAUGAACCAAGUUACCCUAGGGAUAACAGCGCAAUCCUUUCCCAGAGCCCAUAUCGACGAAAGGGUUUACGACCUCGAUGUUGGAUCAGGACACCCUAAUGGUGCAGCCGCUAUUAAGGGUUCGUUUGUUCAACGAUUAACAGUCCUACGUGAUCUGAGUUCAGACCGGAGUAAUCCAGGUCGGUUUCUAUCUAUGAAAUAACACUUCUUCCCAGUACGAAAGGACCGGAAAAAGAGGGCCCAUACUAAAAGCAAGCCCUACCCCUAUCUUCUGAAAACAAAUAAAAAA
rnacentral:rRNA from 1 species